rnacentral:lncRNA from 1 species
CCAGUUGAAAAGGUAAGCCAUGGGGGAGCACUUUUAGAAUUAAAUCGAGAAGCUUACUGGGUAAAAGCACUUUUUUUAAAUCGUAACAAUGCUAAACCCUUUGGCCAUCUGCAUUGAAAGAAAAACUCCUUUAAGUGGUAGUCACUCAACGUUCUUGAUGGCUGUGUUUAUGAUCAGGUAAUCCAUCCGAUUCAUGACCAAUCAUUUUACCUAACUGCGGAGCACAAAAGGAGACUAAAGGAGAAAUAUGGUUAGUACAAAGAAUGACAUAUUGUUGUCUAAUGUAAAAACUUUGCCUAUACCGUGUUUUUUCGUCUUUUUCCUCAUGCAAUUAUGCGCGUGAUUCCUAGGAGUUGAACCAUGGACGUUUGAGCAAAAUCUCGGAGAGGCUGUUUUUAUUCCGGCUGGAUGUCCGCACCAAGUUAGAAACCUGAAGGUAUUUAAUUAAUACA